rnacentral:rRNA from 1 species
UACAGAGGGUGCAAGCGUUAAUCGGAAUUACUGGGCGUAAAGCGUGCGCAGGCGGUCCGCUAAGACAGAUGUGAAAUCCCCGGGCUUAACCUGGGAACUGCAUUUGUGACUGGCGGGCUAGAGUAUGGCAGAGGGGGGUAGAAUUCCACGUGUAGCAGUGAAAUGCGUAGAGAUGUGGAGGAAUACCGAUGGCGAAGGCAGCCCCCUGGGCCAAUACUGACGCUCAUGCACGAAAGCGUGGGGAGCAAACAGG